AACGAACGCUGGCGGCAGGCUUAACACAUGCAAGUCGAACGAACUCUUCGGAGUUAGUGGCAGACGGGUGAGUAACGCGUGGGAAUAUACCUUUCGGUACGGAACAACAGUUGGAAACGACUGCUAAUACCGUAUGCGCCCUACGGGGGAAAGAUUUAUCGCCGAAGGAUUAGCCCGCGUUGGAUUAGCUAGUUGGUGGGGUAAAGGCCUACCAAGGCGACGAUCCAUAGCUGGUCUGAGAGGAUGAUCAGCCACACUGGGACUGAGACACGGCCCAGACUCCUACGGGAGGCAGCAGUGGGGAAUAUUGGACAAUGGGGGCAACCCUGAUCCAGCCAUGCCGCGUGAGUGAUGAAGGCCCUAGGGUUGUAAAGCUCUUUCAGCGAGGAGGAUAAUGACGUUACUCGCAGAAGAAGCCCCGGCUAACUUCG
rnacentral:rRNA from 1 species